GCUUCCUAACUAUAACCAAUGUCAUGUUCCGGGGUCUUUUAGCUCCUUUGUGGAGUUUUUGUGCAUGCACUCGUUUUUCUCCACCACUAGAUGGCGCCUUUACCAUUCCGUCGGAGGGCGUGGAUGACGUCAUCCCACACCUGAUGUGAGUUUUGGCUCAUCAGCGAGAUGUUCAAGAGGAGCUGACUGCCAGUCCUUCGGCGCCUGAGUGUUAGCCAGUCACGGUGUUUCCUCCUGGCUCCUCUACAACCGCUGAUCCUGAGCCUACCUGUCCGCCCUCCGACGUACUCCCUUUGCCUCCUGGAUCCCCGCUGUCAGACAAGACGACCACCUGGAACCUCUGAGAACUAAAACCCCGGACGCUGCAGUUACCCUCUCACUUCUCUAACCUGCCGAUCACAAGUAAGAUCUGCCCCUUCACUCUUAACGUUGUCAUUUCCUACAAACCUGAACUCAUCACCUCCCUCUGCCUCUCUAGUGAACUGUUUGUUCCCUGAACCAGCCUCUCUCCCUGGACCCGACCCAAGCCAACUAUUCCUGCCAGCAGUGUUUUCAAUAAAUUUCUUUAUUUUCA